UCCGAUAGGUGAGGUCAUCCAAGGUAAGUGGUGCCAAAGGCACCCGCCUCACCGCCCGCAAGGGUAGAACAGGGAGGAGGU
rnacentral:ncRNA from 1 species